rnacentral:rRNA from 1 species
AUUGAACGCUGGCGGCAUGCCUUACACAUGCAAGUCGAACGCGAAAGGGGGCAACCCCGAGUAGAGUGGCGAACGGGUGAGCAAUACAUCGGAACACGUCCUGUAGCGGGGGACAACCUCGAGAAAUCGAGGCUAAUACCGCAUACGAUCUACGGAUGAAAGUGGGGGACCGCAAGGCCCCACACUAUAGGAGUGGCCGAUGCCGGAUUAGCUAGUUGGCGGGGUAAUAGCCCACCAAGGCUAUGAUCCGUAGCUGGUUUGAGAGAACGACCAGCCACACUGGGACUGAGACACGGCCCAGACUCCUACGGGAGGCAGCAGUGGGGAAUUUUGGACAAUGGGCGAAAGCCUGAUCCAGCCAUGCCGCGUGAGUGAAGAAGGCCUUCGGGUUGUAAAGCUCUUUCGGCGGGGACGAAAUGGCGCGGGGUAACAUCCGCGUCGAUGACGGUACCCGAAGAAGAAGGACCGGCUAACUACGUGCCAGCCGCCGCCGUAACAC